GUCAAGUGUGUUAGCAAAGUGUUAAAAUGUCACAAAAUUGCAGCAAGAAUGGGCAUUUUUAUGCAAAGUGCCGUAAAAUGAUGGACGAGAUUGAACUCUCGUACCAGGAAGCUCUCCAAGAGGCAAACGAUGGGUUUGUCCCGCUGCCAAACAUGGACUUUUCGGAUGACGAAACGGUCCCGGAAGUGCCGCAAGGCCAAGCUACGACAUCAAGCACUGCCGGAACAAAUGCUGAAAACGUCGCGAAUGAUGAUGAUGAUUUCGACCACGGGGAACAUUAUCCGAACGGGGAGGACAGCGACGAUUUUUAUCACGGCGCUUCCGAUGAGAAUGACUCUUAUGAGAUCUUUGACCAUCUAAGUUUGUUGGAUUGUCUUAGAUUCUUUGCAAUUAAGAGUCAGCUCCCCCGUUCGGUGGUCAAUAUGCUACUGGCGAUCCUACGGAAGAAGGUAGAUGCCACUCUUCCAAAAGAUAGCCGGACUUUGGUGCGAACACCUCCCCGUGCUGCUGGCAGCAUUUAUAAAAUCGGGGGAGGUGACUUUUGGUACGGAGGAUUAUCGCCAGUCCUGACCAAGUAUUUUCAAAACAUCGAACCCCGAGACGAUCCUUUCAAGUUAGACGUAUCGGUCGACGGGCUACCGCUACAUAAGGGUGGGCCGACCCAGGUUUGGCCUAUUCUGGUGAAAGCGGUAGACUUGCCUAAGCUUCCACUCAUGUUGGUGGCCGCAUAUAGUGGCCAUACAAAGCCGGCAAGUGUGGAAGAAUUUUUGCGGCCGCUAGUGAAUGAUUUUAAUAUCAUUCAGCGAGGAGGCUUGACCAUCGGCGAUAAAACGUUGCAGUUUCGGGUACGCAAUUUUAUCGCUGAUACACCGGCUCGAGCGUUCAUAUUAGCAACGACGAACCACAACGGAUACGACAGUUGUUUAAAGUGCACUUGCCAUGGCGAGUGGUGUGAAGAGGGAAAAAAAAUUAUUUUUGAUUCCGUCGAUGCUCCCCUUCGUACGGACGAAGGGUUUCGUGGUAGAGCAAUAUUGAACCAUCAUCAGGAGUGGCGUACACCUUUGGAAGAAUUAGAUAAUUUUGAUUUAGUCGAUAACGCUCCCACGUCGGAGCGUGAACACCUGUGUGACGAGGGGUGUACACGUUUUAUGCAACGGGGAUUUAUGUUCGGUAAAUUUCCCCGUAAUAAAAAGUGGACACCUCUCCAAAUGGAAGCUGCGUCUAAAUUUUUAAUGCAGACAAAGCUUCCUACUGAGAUCCAUCGAUCAUUUCGGCUUCUCAGAUAUCACGCCUUUUGGAAAGCUACCGAGUGGCGUAGCUAUCUACAUUAUGCAUCAGUUGUGGUUCUGAAGGACCUGGUUGAUCCAAUCGCCUAUGGUCACUUCCUGCUCUACUUUAGUGCUUUGACAAUUUUUUCGACCAAAUUUCAUCAGCACUUGUGGCUCCGUGCUCGAGACUACCUUCGCAUAUUUGUGAAGAAUUUCGGCCAAGUCUACGGUCGAAAAUAUUUAACAAGCAACAUCCACCUUCUCGUUCACAUUUAUAAAGAUGUUGAAAAAUUUGGAGCGCUCGACGAUUUUUCGGCCUACGCAACAGAAAACUUUUUGCAAAAUUUUCCACGCUGGGUCCGAGCGGGCACGAAAUGUGUGGAGCAAAUUGCAAACAGAUCAAGCGAUCUAAUGAGCCUUGAUCUGGUUGCUACCCCGCCAGCUCCACAGUAUCCGAUGUUGAAGGCAAAUGGUGUCGGUCUACAUGUGACCGCCGAUUUUGUCUUGCUGCCAAAAUUUCAAGACCAAUGGUUUUUGACCAAGGACAAUGGCAUAGUUAAAUUUUUGAGUGCGAAAACAUCAAGCUCGCACGAUAUCACCGUAGUUGGGAUCCGGUUUUUAACCAUGGCCACGCUUUACGAGAUCUCAGCAGAAGGCGGUGUUAUUGCACCAAUGUCUUCUGCUGAGAUCCACGUUUACCAAACGAUGGAAAACGCGCCGGCUGUGGUGGUGGAGGUUCCAUGGACUGCAAUCAGAUGCAAAAUGGUUGCAGUGAAGCAACCCACUCGUCCUCUUAAUCUCCCUCCCAUUGAUCCUUCACCAAACUCAACAACUCCUUCCGCCAUAGCCUUUUUUCCUCUUCUCCACACCUUUAUUCCUGAUUAAUUUCCUCCCUUCAAUAGGAAAAAAUUGCCUCCACGACUCCCUCGAAGACGACGUGUGGUUGCACAUGGUAAACUUCCACCGAAACUCCGGAUAAUUCGUGCCCAUCCAUCUGUGACAUGGACGAGAAGGUGGACAAAGCUAAUAUUAAGGGGGGGAGGGGACGACCUUUUUUAACAGCACUACGGGCAAUGUUAGGACAUGUUUGCC